CGGAGAGUGCAAACGUUGUUCGGAUUCACUGGGCGUAAAGGGCACGUAGGCGGCUCAGCAAAUCAGUCGUGGAAUCCCGACGCUUACCGUCGGAACGGCGGCUGAAAAUACUGGGCUUGAGGGCGUGAGGGGUCACUGGAACUCCCGGUGAAGCGGUGAAAUGCGUAGAUAUCGGGAGGAACGCCGGAGGCGAAAGCGAGUGACUGGCGCGUUCCUGACGCUGAGGUGCGAAAGCUAGGGGAGCAAACAGGAUUAGAUACCCUGGUAGUCCUAGCCGUAAACGAUGGACACUGAGUGAAGGGGGGCUUGCCCCUCUUUGCUGCAGCUAACGCGUUAAGUGUCCCGCCUGGGGAGUACGGCCGCAAGGUUA
rnacentral:rRNA from 1 species